UUAUGGCCACAUCAGGUUGAAACCCCGGUUCCCGUACGAUCACCGAAGUUAAGCAGCGCUUAGCGUGGUCAGUACUUAGACGGUUACCCGCUUGGGAAUAUCUGGUGCAGUAUG